rnacentral:rRNA from 1 species
ACUCUAACUCAUCCAUAAAAAGAUCGAGUCCUAGCGAGUCAAGCUCUAACCGCAUCUACCUGUUCUGUUUAUAUCCAAUAUCACACACCACACGCACGUCAACACAUGCACACUGCUCCAAAUUACCAUAAAAUAACAUUUAUAAUAUUUCAUCAAAUAAAGAUACAAUAUAAAACAUGUCUAGUAUUUAAUUACAUAAAUAUAUAUACUUAUAAGUGAUGCAUGGGCAUACCUGAACAUAUAAUAAUAUUGAAAUUAUAAUUAAAAUUAAUAUUUUACUCACAGACAUAAACCGAGGCCACUGUGGUGGCUGGACGGAGAAGGAAGGCUGUACCGGCUCACUUAACAAUUAUAUUAUAAUUAUUUAAUAUAAUUGACUCAAUACAAGUUUAAAAAGAACCAAAGACAUUCUAAGUUGUGCUAAAAAUCCGGCAGAAUUCCCCCUAUAUUGGGUGUAAAGCGUCUGUAGGUGGCUUUUUAAGUCCGCCGUCAAAUCCUAGGGCUCAACCCUGGACAGGCGGUGGAAACUGCCAAGUUAGAGUACGGUAGGGGCAGAGGGAAUUUCCUGUGGAGCGGUGAAAUGCGUAGAGAUCGGAAAGAACACCAAUGGCAAAAGCACUCUGCUGGGCCAACACUAACACUGAGAGACGAAAGCUAAGGGAGCGAAUGGGAUUAGAUACCCCAGUAGUCCUAGCCGUAAAUGAUGGAUACUGGGCGCUGUGCGUAUCGACCCGUGCAGUGCUGUCGCUAACGCAUUAAGUAUCCCGCCUGGGGAGUACGUUCAAAAGAAUGAAACUCAAAGGAAUUGACGGGGGCCCGCACAAGCAGUGGAACAUGUGGUUUUAUUCGAUGCAAAGUGAAGAGCCUUACUAGGGCUUGACAUGCCGCGAAUCCUCUUGAAAGAGAGGGGUGCCUUUGGGACCGUGGACACAGGUGGUGCAUGGCUAUCUCCAUCUCGUGCCGUAAGGUGUUGGGUUAAGUCCUGCAACGAGAGCAAUCCUCGUGUUUAGUUGCCACUGUUGAGUUUGGAACCCUGAGCAGACUGUCGGUGAUAAGUCGGAGGAAGGUGAGGAUGACGUCAAGUCAUCAUGCCCCUUAUGCACUGGGUGACACACAUGCUAUAAUGGCCGGGACAAAGGGUCGCAAUCCCGCGAGGGUGAGUUAACUCCAAAAACCCAUCCUCAGUUCGGAUUGCAGGCUACAACUCACCUGCAUGAAGCCAGAAUUGCUAGUAAUCGCCGAUCAGCCAUACGGUGGUGGAUUCAUUCCUGGGCCUUGUACACACUGCCCGUUACACUAUGGGAGCUGGCCAUGCCCGAAGUUAUUACCUUAACCACAAGGAGGGGGAUGCCGAAGGCAAGGCUAGUGACUGGAGUGAAGUCGUAACAAGGUAGCUGUACUGGAAGGUGCAGCUG